CGCGCCGGGGCCGCCGGGCCGCCGCCUCCUCCGCCGAGAGCGCCGCCGCCGCCUUCGCCCGGGAGCCGGGGGGGGGGGCCGGACGCCAUCAUGCUGAGCCGCCUUGGGGCGCUGCUGCAGGAGGCCGUGGGGGCGCGGGAGCCCCCCAUUGACCUGCUGCAGGCCUUUGUGGAGCACUGGAAGGGCAUCACACAUUACUACAUCGAGACCACAGAUGAAAACACCCCCGCCAAGAAGACGGACAUUCCCUGGCGACUGAAGCAGAUGCUGGACAUCCUGGUGUAUGAAGAGCAGCAGCAGGCAGCCGUGGGGGAGGCAGGGCCCUGCCUGGAGUACCUACUGCAGCACAAGAUCCUGGAGACCCUCUGCACGCUGGGCAAGGCCGAGUACCCGCCAGGCAUGCGGCAGCAGGUGUUCCAGUUCUUCAGCAGAGUCCUGGCCCAGGUGCAGCACCCGCUGCUGCAUUACCUCAGCGUCCACAGGCCUGUGCAGAAACUCCUCCGACUUGGUGGGACAGUUCCCGGAUCCGUUACAGAAAAGGAGGAGGUGCAGCUCACCACUGUCCUCUGCUCCAAGAUCCAGCAGGACCCAGAGCUGCUGGCCUACAUCCUGGAAGGUAAAAAGAUUGUAGCUAGGAAGAAGGCAUGUGGAGAACCCGAUGCCUUACCUAAGGACGCGGCCAGCCACAGGGACAAGGACUGCUCCCAUCAUGGUGCUCCCGCCAGGCCCCAGCGGGACGGGGAGCCCUGUGGGGCCCAGGCCUUGAACAGCCCCCUGCUGGCUGAGACUGAGGAGCUGGACGGUGGGACUGCGGAGAGCAACCUGAUCACUUCCCUGCUUGGGCUGUGCCGGAGCAAGAAAAGUCGGGUGGCCUUGAAGGCCCAGGAGAACCUGCUACUCCUGGUGAGCACAGCCUCCCCAGCGGCCGCCACCUACCUGGCACAGAGCAGCCCCUGCUGCCGUGCGAUCAUCCGGCACCUCUGCCAGCUGUACCGGUCCAUGCCUGCCUUCCUGGACCCCACAGACAUUGCCGCCUUAGAGGGCAUCAGCUGGAGGUUACCCAGUGCCCCAUCCGAUGAGGCUUCCUUCCCUGGCAAGGAGGCCUUGGCUGCCUUCUUGGGCUGGUUUGAUUACUGCGACCACCUUAUCACAGAGGCACACAUGGUGGUUGCGGACGCCUUGGCGAAGGCUGUGGCUGAGAAGUUAUUCAUGGAGACCCUACAGCCCCAGCUCCUGCACGUGUCUGAGCCGAGCAUCCUGACCUCCACCGCCCUCCUCACAGCCAUGCUGCGCCAGCUCCGCUCCCCUGCGCUGCUUCGGGAGGCCGUGACUUUCCUCCUGGGCACAGACCGCCAGCCUGAAGCCCCUGGGGACAAACCCUGUGCCCUGUAUGCUCACCUUAUCGGGCACUGUGACCACCUCUCUGAUGAGAUCAGCAUCGCCACGCUCCGGCUGUUCGAGGAACUGCUACAGAAGCCCCAUGAGGGGAUCAUCCGCAGCCUGGUCCUGCGCAACCUCGAGGGCCGCCCUUACGUGGCCCGGGGCUCGCCAGAGCCUGAGAGCUACGAGGACACCCUAGAUCUGGAAGAAGACCCCUACUUCACCGAUAGCUUCCUGGAUUCCGGCUUUCAACCUCGAGCAAAGCCUCGCCCUGCUCCUGCCACCAGUUACGAUGGCAAAACAGCAGUGACUGAGAUUGUCAACAGGUGGGGAGCAGUUUCCUGUGCCUGGUCCCCGAGGAAGCCAAGACCUCUGCCUUCCUGGAGGAGACGGGCUAUGACACAUACGUCCACGAUGCUUAUGGUCUGUUCCAGGAGUGCAGCUCCCGCGUCGCGCCCUGGGGCUGGCCUCGGACCCCUAUACCUUUGGACCUCCAUGAGCCCGAGCGACCUUUCUUUGAGGGCCGCUUCCUCCAAGUGCUGUUUGACCGCAUGUCUCGGAUUCUGGAUCAGCCAUACAGCCUGAACCUGCAGGUGACCUCGGUCCUGUCCCGGCUUGCCCUCUUCCCCCACCCCCAUAUCCAUGAGUACCUCCUGGAUCCCUACAUCAGCCUGGCCCCCGGCUGCAGGAGCCUGUUCUCCGUGUUGGUGAGGGUGAUCGGGGACUUGAUGCAGAGAAUCCAGAGGGUGCCCCAGUUCCCGGGCAAGCUACUCCUGGUGCGCAAGCAGUUGACGGGCCAGGCUCCUGGGGAGCAGCUGGACCAUCAGACCCUACUCCAGGGCGUGGUGGUGCUGGAGGAGUUCUGCAAGGAGCUGGCUGCCAUUGCCUUCGUCAAGUUUCCCCCGAAUGGUCCUCUCCAGAACGUCUCUCCAGCCCCGGAAGGGCAGGUCUGAGCCAGGAGCAGGGCAGUGGGAGACUCCCACUGCCCCAGAGCUGCCUCCUGUCUGGCACUGCCACCGCCACCAUACUCCCCUCCUGGGAUGGGGGCUUUGGCUCUUAUGCUCACUCAAGGAGGCCGUGACACGUUGACCACACCAGACUGGGUUUCAGGGAAUGGGCCUGCCAGGUGCCAAGGAGCCAAACAGAUGGCUUUCCAGGCAGCAGGGUCCUUGGGGCCUUCUUGAAGGAGCUGAGUGAUGGCCAGGUGAGCACCCAAACCGCAGACCCUCAGGCGCUGUGUGCCUGGCCCGCUCUGUACUGACCAUUUGUGGCCAGGGCCAAGACCUGUGACUCAACUCCAGGGGCAAGAUGGGGAGUAAGCUGAUGGCUCCAAGACUCGUGGGGAGCCCAGGCCAGGAGAUGGGGCCUGGAGCCCUGUCUGUGUCACAUUAGGUACCAUGGGAGCUGGUGAGACCUGACAUUUUGUCCUUUUCUUCAUGGCUUAGCCCAUGGAGAAGGAGCAGUGAAUGGGAUUGUCGGGGAAGCCCCCCUCUUCCUGCUCUGCUCCCCUGGAAACUGUUGCGAAACCUUUAGCCGCCUCAUGGCAAAUGCCCAAAGCAUGUUCCACACCCGGGCGGGGGCUGCUGCUAAUGAGAACCUUGGUGCAGCUGCUGCCAGGAGGGGAGCAGGCCGGGAGCUGGGGAGCUGGGGAGCCAGGGAGCCAGGUGCCCGGCCUUGGUCCAGCUGGUUCCUCUCUGGUGCCUUCUGGACCUGUCUCAGCAGGUCCACAUCACCUGGGCAGAGAGGUUAGAGACUAGGGGAGGCCGGGCCUCGCCCUUCCUUCUGCCCACUGUUCUUGAUGGAAGACCCUUCUGGGGGACCAGGGAGCUCAGGAGACAGAAGAGGGCAGGGCACCCCCUGACUCCAGACAGAUGAGGGCAGGGAGUGGCUGUGGCCCAGGCAGCCAGUCCUGGUAUUGUUCUCCCUGCCUGCCCUCCAUGGCUGGGGCUGCCACCCCACCCGGUCUGAAUCUGUCUUGACCUGCAGGAAUACACAGGCGGCGCCAGGCAUUACCUCACAGCGGGACUACACAGUUGCUGGCUUUGCUUCUGGGCAAGGAGGAGCAGGCCAGAGCCUCUUUAGCUUCCUUUUCUUGCCCAUGCUGCUUCUAGAAGCCACGCACAGGUUGCCAAGAGGUGACACGAAACAGGAGGAAACUCGGUGACCUCUGCCUCUCCCGAAUUCCUCCCCGCGGGGGAGGACCUUGCCACUCUGAGAGCACUGUGCCAUGUUGGGUGCACGAACGUGGGUUAGUGUGGACGGGACGAUCUCCGUGGAUGAACUGGGUCUGGACUCCUAGGUUCACAAAAUGUUCAAGGGUCUGGGAGUCACAGACCCUCUCCUCUCCUCAAUGCACUUUGGUGUCUGCACGGUGUCUUCCCCGGACAGCACAGCAAUAAAUGGUGUGAUUGCGUGGA